rnacentral:rRNA from 1 species
GACGGACGCUGGCGGCGUGCUUAACACAUGCAAGUCGAACGGAAAGGCUCCAGCUUGCUGGAGUACUCGAGUGGCGAACGGGUGAGUAACACGUGGGUAAUCUGCCCUGCACUCUGGGAUAAGCCUGGGAAACUGGGUCUAAUACUGGAUAUGACCUUUCUCCUUAUGGGGUUUGGUGGAAAGUUUUUCGGUGUAGGAUGAGCCCGCGGCCUAUCAGCUUGUUGGUGGGGUGAUGGCCUACCAAGGCGACGACGGGUAGCCGGCCUGAGAGGGUGAUCGGCCACAUUGGGACUGAGAUGCGGCCCAGACUCCUACGGGAGGCAGCAGUGGGGAAUAUUGCACAAUGGGCGGAAGCCUGAUGCAGCGACGCCGCGUGAGGGAUGACGGCCUUCGGGUUGUAAACCUCUUUCAGCAGGGACGAAGCGUAAGUGACGGUACCUGCAGAAGAAGCACCGGCUAACUAUGUG